GCAGACAGAGUGGGAGGGUCGUCACAUCUUUAAAAAGAGAAAGGUUGGGUUGUUAAUGCUGGGUUAAUUCUCCUGCCAAAUCAAAGUUAUCCAGCAAGCUGUUGAAUGAGGAUUGUUGCAGCGGUAGCAAGUCUAGCAGACAGUGCCGCCUGCUCAUAGUGGAAUUACUUUGAGGGAUAAAUGGGCAAGGUGCUAUGGCUGACCAAAAACUAUACUAAAGAUGACACGAUCCCACCACCAGUGUAACGAGUUGGAAAGAAUACUGCCCGCCAAAACAUUGAGGCCUGAAUCAAUUUUGAGCAUAAUUCUCUGUGCUUCCCAGCAAACAGUCCAGUCUGAGACUCAGCAGGUGAAAGGCAUCGUGGGACAGUCUUUCUCUUUUCAAGAGAGGGUGAUCAAGACUGGCAAUUUACUUUAUGGAGACCUUGACAGUAUUGCAAAUGUGUACCCUGGUAGAGAAGGCAAAAUCACCCUUGAGAAGAGAUUUGAAAACCGCCUCCACUUGAACAAUGUUACAAGAUACUUCACUCUGUCAGACCUUCAUAUUGACGAUGCUGGGGUUUAUACUGUUGAGAAUACAGACGAAGAGAAAAAAACUACAAAAUUUGAGCUCACUGUGUACAAUGUUGUUUCCAAACCUCCGGUGACAGAGUGUGACCGCAGCUCCUGUAGUGUGGUGUGUUCUGUGGACAAUGAAAAAGAGGUGACCUUGACCCUGUACAGGGGAGAGGAAAUACUAAACCAGACCAGCAGUCCUGACCUCACCACCGAUCCAUCUCUCCAUUUGGAGGUAGAGGGAAAGAACUACAACUCCACCUACAGCUGUGUGGCUUCCAACCCUGUCAGCAAUGAGACAGUUCUUGUCCCAAAAUGUUGCAGUGAAGAUGGUCAUCCUAAUGAUGCUGACAGUGAGGGGAUGACUCUGGGUAUGGUUAUUGCUGUAAUCUGUGUUUUGGUUGCCUCUGGGCUGGUUGGACUUGCAAUCUAUCUAAGGAAGAGGGGAAAUGAACACUCACAAGGCAGAUUCAUCUGAAAGAGUGCAAGUUGACAUUGAGUAUGCAACGAUAAUUCCUAAAAAACGAACAGAUAACCAGGAGGAGCGAACAGAUAUACCGGAAUUGGAGUCACACAGAACAGAUAUACCAGAAUUGGAGUCGCGUAGAGACAACCCUAACCUGACAUCAGUUUAUGAUAUACUCCUGUUACAUCGCAUGGCUGCCAGCGGGGAUGUUGACACAGCAUGAAGGAGAAAAACGGGAAGUCAAUGGGAGGCCAAAAUGAUAACUCACAUUCUGUAGAGCAUAAAAGAGUACGUUGAAACAAAAUGAAAGUAAAACAAUAUUCAUGCUGUCAACCUUUUAGAGGCACAGUUGUUAUGGGAGAAAAAUCCCCUGGAACUGUUGUGCUGAUAUUAUAAUUUCAGGCUUCCUUUGUAGGUCAUUCUCACAGACCUUCUGUCAAAUAGGGGCCUCGGUUACAUCCACUGAUACUGACGAAUUCAAUAACUAUGCAUUGAGUUGUUAGCAUGAUCAGGAUAAUCCGUCUUUUUAAAUGCCUUUUGUCCCAAAUCCAAAUCAAAUCCAAUUUUAUUGUAUAAGUUAAAACAAAUGGAACAUAUCUUUUAAUACAAUUCAUUAGUGUGUUUGCUAUGCUACUGCUGUGCCAAAGCUUCCUUUCAGUACUGUCUCUUCUGUUGUUUAAAUGUAGGUGCCUCCCCUGUAUCUUUUUUAUAGCUGAUCAUUGUUUAGCUUGCCAGUGGAUAGCAGCUGUGUACAUAAUUUAAAAAGAGCAGGCGUUUGAGAUAAAGCCACCUGCUCCUUAGAAGCAAUGGCUGUUAGGCUGUUUAAGAAACAAAACGGUCCAUAGAUGCAUGUUUUCCUUUCAACAUUUAGGUUGUAUUGAGGGGUGGCCAGCUCUAGGAAGAGUCUUGGUGGUUCCAAACUUUUUCCAUUUAAGAAUGAUGGAGGCCACUGUGUUCUUGGGGACCUUCAAUGCUGCACCCUUCCCCAAAUCUGUGCCCCGACAAUCCUGUCUAGGAGCUCUAUGGACAAUUGCGUCGACCUCAUGGCUUGGUUUUUGCUUUGACAUGCAAUGUCAACUAUGGGACCAUAUAAAGACAGGUGUGUGCCUUUCCAAAUCAUGUCCAAUCAAAUGAAUUUACCACAGGUGGACUCCAAUCAAGUUGUAGCAACAUCUAAAGGAUGAUCAAUGAAAACAGGAUGCACCUGAGCUCAAUUUCAAGUCUCAUAGCAGAGGGUCUGAAUACUUAUGCAAUUAAGGUACCUAUAAAUAAUGUUUACGCUUUGUCAUUAUGGGCUAUUGUCUGUAGAUUUAAGGCUGUAACAUAACAAAAUGUGGAAAAAGUCAAGGGGUCUGAAUACUUUCCAAAUGCACUGUAUAUCCAUAAUUUAGCUGGAAUGUAAUGUUCAUAUCCUGUAUAAUUGACUGAUAUUUAGUUGUCUCAGCUAGCCGUCUUAAGAUGAAUUCACUUACUGUAUGUCGCUCUGGAAAAUAAAUGUAAUUCUAUAUUUUAAA